UGACUAUGCAUAGAUGGCCAUCAAUAUAU
rnacentral:sRNA from 1 species